GAUGAAGAACGUAGCGAAAUGCGAUAAGUAAUGCGAAUUGCAGAAUUCAGUGAGUCAUCGAAUCUUUGAACGCAUAUUGCGCCCUUUGGUAUUCCAAAGGGCAUGCCUGUUCGAGCGUCAUUAUCACAGUCUCAAGCUUGGCUUGUUGUUGGGCCCUUUGUCACCGGGUGACAGGUCCAAAAGACAAUAACCGGUGUCAUACAGACUCUAUAUGCAACGAGCUUAUUACAGCACGCAUCUGGUAGUCGUGUGGCCCGGUUCUCACCCCUUUAUUUCUCAAGGUUGACCUCGGAUCAGGUAGGAAUACCCGCUGAACUUAAGCAUAUCAAUAAGCGGAGGA
rnacentral:misc_RNA from 1 species